AUCACCCAGGGAUCUUGUUAAAAUAUAGAUUCGGGUUCAGUAGGUCUGGGGUAGGACCCGAGAUUCUGCAUUUCUAACCAGUUCCUGGGUGAUGCCAA
rnacentral:pre_miRNA from 1 species